AGAGCGAACGCUGGCGGCAGGCCUAACACAUGCAAGUCGAGCGCCCAGCAAUGGGAGCGGCAGACGGGAGAGUAACACGUGGGAAUAUGCCCUUCAGUUCGGAACAACCCAGGGAAACUUGGGCUAAUACCGAAUACGUCCGUAAGGAGAAAGAUUUAUCGCUGAAGGAUUAGCCCGCGUCUGAUUAGCUUGUUGGUGAGGUAACGGCUCACCAAGGCGACGAUCAGUAGCUGGUCUGAGAGGAUGACCAGCCUCAUUGGGACUGAGACACGGCCCAAACUCCUACGGGAGGCAGCAGUGGGGAAUAUUGGACAAUGGGGGCAACCCUGAUCCAGCCAUGCCGCGUGGAUGAUGAAGGCCCUAGGGUUGUAAAGUCCUUUUAACGGGAAGAUAAUGACGGUACCCGUAGAAUAAGCCCGGCUAACUUCGUGCCAGCAGCCGC
rnacentral:rRNA from 1 species